AUUGAACGCUGGCGGCAGGCCUAACACAUGCAAGUCGAGCGGCAGCGGGAAAGUAGCUUGCUACUUUUGCCGGCGAGCGGCGGACGGGUGAGUAAUGCCUGGGAAAUUGCCCAGUCGAGGGGGAUAACAGUUGGAAACGACUGCUAAUACCGCAUACGCCCUACGGGGGAAAGCAGGGGACCUUCGGGCCUUGCGCGAUUGGAUAUGCCCAGGUGGGAUUAGCUAGUUGGUGAGGUAAUGGCACACCAAGGCGACGAUCCCUAGCUGGUCUGAGAGGAUGAGCAGCGACACUGGAACUGAGACAAGGUCCAGACUCCUACGGGAGGCAGCAGUGGGGAAUAUUGCACAAUGGGGGAAACCCUGAUGCAGCCAUGCCGCGUGUGUGAAGAAGGCCUUCGGGUUGUAAAGCACUUUCAGCGAGGAGGAAAGGUUGAUGCCUAAUACGUAUCAACUGUGACGUUACUCGCAGAAGAAGCACCGGCUAACUCCGUGCCAGCCGCCGCAGUAAGAC
rnacentral:rRNA from 1 species